GCGGAGCCUCCUUUACUUCUCUCGCCCCGCCUAUAAAAGCCGCCCGCCUCUCCUCCCCCUCCUAACCACUCCGUCGCCUCGCCGCCACCGCCCGCAGCCUCCGAUCGAUUUCGGUUCGAUUGCGGUUUCGCCCCCCCGCCCGCCGACGAGGUAGCAGCAUCUGUUUUGCUGCAAUCUGACAAAGUGGAGGGGUACGCUGAACCUUCUUUUAUGUCUGAACAAGCAUCGGUCUAUUUGGGAUCAGUUGGAUUGCUGGGAGAGUACUCUCGUGCAACGAGAAAAAGGCAUAAGUUUGUGCUCCCCUGCAUGCAUCAAGAGCCCAUUAGGUUCUCUGGUUCUGAGAGUUCACUUGCCACUGCCUGUGCUCAGAGUCCUGCAGCUACUAUUUCUUCUGAAUUUUGCCACAUCUGAUAGCAUCUGCUGCAGAAAGAUUUUCUCAAGAUGGCGCUGCAAAACAUUGGUGCUUCAAACAAGGAUGAUGCCUUCUACAGGUACAAGAUGCCCAGAAUGUUGACCAAAAUUGAAGGCCGUGGUAAUGGCAUCAAGACCAAUAUUGUGAACAUGGUUGAUAUAGCAAAAGCACUUGCCAGGCCUGCUUCCUACACAACCAAGUACUUUGGAUGUGAGCUUGGGGCACAAUCAAAGUUUGAUGAGAAGACGGGAAUCUCCUUGGUCAAUGGAGCCCAUGACACUUUGAAGCUGGCUGGUCUGCUUGAGAACUUCAUCAAGAAGUAUGUCCAGUGUUAUGGCUGUGGCAACCCUGAGACGGAGGUCCUCAUCUCCAAGAAAGAGAUGAUAACUUUGAAAUGUGCUGCCUGUGGCUUCCUCUCGGAUGUUGACAUGAGGGACAAGCUCACUACAUUCAUCCUGAAGAACCCACCAGAGGCAAAGAAAGGUGGCAAGGACAAGAAAGCUAUGCGGAGGGCUGAGAAGGAGCGUCUGAAAGAAGGUGAAGCUGCUGAUGAGGAGAUGAAGAAACUCAAGAAGGAUGGGAAGAAGAAAGGUGCUUCAUCCAAGGAGAGUACUGCAAAAGGUGUUGCCACAAAGAAGAAGGGUGCUGGGGGCUCUGAUGAGGAACAUGUCUCAUCACCAAGAGAUGCUGACUUUGCAGCUGCUGCAGACGGUGAUGAUGACGACGACGAUGAUGUACAGUGGGCGACUGACACGUCAGCAGAGGCUGCGAGAAAGCGCAUGGAGGAACAGCUGAGUGCAGCAACUGCUGAAAUGGUUAUGCUUGCCACUGAAGAGACUGAGAAGAAGAAGAAACAGGCCCAGCACAAGGAUGAUGGCGGUGCCAAUGGCACAGCAAAGGCUGAAGAGACCUCCAACGGUAACCAGAAUGGGGCCAAAACCACCACUCCCUAUGAUGCACUGGUUGAAGAGAUCAAGGCCAGCCUAGCCAAUGCUGCCACCGCAGCUCAGCUCAAGGGGUUGCUGUCCUCCUCGCCCCUGCCCCUGAAGGAUGUGAUGGAUGCCCUCUUCGAGGCGCUCUUCCAUGGUGCUGCCAAGGGGUUUGCGAAGGAUGUGGUGAAGAACAGGAAGUACCUUGCUGCUGCUGUGCCUGAUGAAGCCGCCCAGAUGCUCCUGCUCCAGUCUAUCGAGGCGUUCUGUGGCAAGUGCAGCGCCGAGGCCCUGAAGGAGCUGCCUGUCGUCCUGAAGGCCCUCUACGACGGAGACGUCCUCGAGGAAGAGACUAUUGUGCAGUGGUACAAUGAGGCUGUUGCUGCCGGUAAGGACUCCCAGAUCGUGAAGAAUGCCAAGCCCGUCGUGGAGUGGCUCCAGAGCGCUGAGUCUGACGAGGAGUGAGACCCUGUACUGCUUGCUCCCAUUCCGCACUUACUUUUUACCACCGCUACUUGCUUAAGUGUCUUUUUAAGUUUGUUUGAAGUGUCCUUCAUCGUCGUGGAUCGUUUUUUGGAGUUUGAGUCAGUUGAGUCUGUAUUUCAAAGCACCGUGUGAUGAACAAUUUGCGUUGAAGACUCGUUAUAUAUGAACUGCUGUCAUUUGUAGUCUGUUAUAUAUGCUGCCUUGGGUAGCGCUGUCACUUGAUUGUCCUUUAAAGUUGGUGUCCGUCAUUGUCGUGGAUCAGUAUUUGAAACGGACUAAUGUUUGUAAUUUCCUUUUUGUAUAAUGACCUUUAAAGUUC
rnacentral:rRNA from 1 species